rnacentral:tRNA from 1 species
GCUCCCAUAGUUCAAUGGAUAGAGCGUCGGUCUCCGGAACCGAAAAUCCAGGUUCGAGUCCUGGUGGGAGCGCCA